CCUACGGGAGGCAGCAGUGGGGAAUAUUGCACAAUGGGGGAAACCCUGAUGCAGCGACGCCGCGUGAGUGAAGAAGGAAUUCGUUAUGGAAAGCUCUAUUAGCAGGGAAGAAAAUGACGGUACCUGAGUAAGAAUCCCCGUCUAACUACGUGCCAGCAGCCGCGGUAAUACGUAGGGAGCAAGCGUUAUCCGGAUUUACUGGGUGUAAAGGGAGCGUAGACGGGAGUGCAAGUCUGGAGUGAAAGGCUUGGGGUCAACCCCCGGGCUGCGGUUGAAACUGUACGGCUGGAGUGCAGGAGAGGUAAGUGGAAUUCGUAGUGUAGCGGUGAAAUGCGUUGAUAUUAGGAGGAACACCAGUGGCGAAGGCAGCUUACUGGACUGUAACUGACGUUGAGGCUCGAAAGCGUGGGGAGCAAACAGGAUUAGAUACCCGUGUAGUC
rnacentral:rRNA from 1 species